UCUUAUGGCCAUACCACCCUGAAUGCACCCGAUCUCUUCUGAUCUCAGAAGCCUAGCAGGGUCGGGCCUGGUUAGUACUUGGAUGGGAGAAAUGUUCUAAACAUUAAUGUUGUUGGUG
ensembl:rRNA 5S_rRNA 5S ribosomal RNA